ensembl:lncRNA
UUGGUCAAGGCUGAUAAGUGACUCGUCUUCCUGCCUUGGUAAGGCACGUCAGUACCACCUGAAAGGAAGAUUUUUGACUGCUUCUGUGAAGAGUAUCAUUGAGUGAAGAGGAUGAUGUAUUUUCAGCUAUCUUUAUGUCAUUCAAGGAGUUGAAAAUUAUGACUUGUUUCCAAGGGCUCAGCUGAUGCUGUUUCAAAGGUACUUCUGCCCAGAGAUCACAGCUGAAAUUUUCUCUUAAAACAUUCUGGUAAUGAAUCUUAUCCAUAAUAAGUAAUUGCAGCAAUAACAAACUGUACAUAUGACCACUAAAAAAAUGUAGAAAUUCUUCUCAUCAUGGAUAUAGAUUUUUUCUCAUGUGCACAUGAAGAGUCCUUUCUAGGAAAAUUUAGCACCUUUUACAUGAAAUAUAGGGCCAUGAAUAAUCAGAAUACAAUGUCCAGAAAAGGCCCAACAUAAAAAAAAAACCAGACAAAGUAAUGUUUCUAAAAUCAGACCCUUAAGAUGGCAAUCCAACACUCCAGGCAGCUAGCAGAAACCAGGGCCUGUGCCAGCUGCACAUUUGACUGCCACUAUGUAUGUGCAGUUUUUUGCUUUCUUUGUGUGAAUAUCUUCUUCAUCUUUAUACUUUUCCUGACACAUCAUCUGGUGAAAAGCUAACCAAAGAGGGCUUUCCUCAAGGUGUAGUUUAACUGGGUAAUUCUAGGGAUCACUUGCUGACAAAGCAUCGUGGAACACAAGUGGCUGAUGCUGAAGUCUUCAUUUUGCAGUUAACAGAUCAUUUGGGAAUAUAACUUGAUGUGAUCUUGGAGUAACCUUGCCUAUCAAGCAUUUUUAUGAACGUGAAAACUCGUAUUUGUGUGGAGGAAACUGUCUGUAUUCAGAAAAGAUAAUGGGUACGCACUGAAAAGAGAGAAGGGGUGAGUGCUAUGAAUGGUGUAGUGAUGUAUGGUUGGAUGGAACACAGAGGAGAGCCAGGCACAGGUGGAAUUACAUUAAUCCUUGAAAAUCUGCAUAUAGGAGACCAUGUGCUGUCAAGACUGUCAGCACUUCAAGUCACUUUGAAAUUUGCUCACAGUCUUGAAAAGGGGUUCCAGACUUGCAAUGGAACAAAAUGAUGCCAAGCCCAGCUUUGACACAUGCAGGAGUAUCUGGAUGCUCUGGAUUUCUAGGGGGUGCAUUUGAAAACAGUAAAAAUCAUACAUAAACACAACCUGGAAUCAUUUUUCUUUCUUUUUUUUUCUCAGUUCUUUGGGCAAAGAAUUAAGUCCUUGUUUUGGAAGGAUGGGAGGAGGUUUGUUUUUUUUUACUGGUUAAAAACUAGGACCAUGCUAUUUACUCAAAUAUAAAUCUGUGUUCCUCAUUCUGUGACUUCUCCCCAAAUCAACUCUAAAUCCUUUCCUUACUGGAGGGUCAUCUUCUCACUUUUUGUGAGAUGGAAGGGUUGGUUAAUCCCAGAUUUCUUUAGAGGCAUAAGUCCUCACCUUCAUCUAUAUUGUUGGAGAAAUGGACUGUCGAAAACCUCAUGCAUUGAGAGGGAAGUGCAAAGUCCUGUAGCUGGAGUGAGACAAUCCUGGGCAUCAUUACAUGCUGGGAAUCACCCAGCUAGAAAGCAGCUUUGCAAAACAAACCUGGUGAGCCAGGCUCUUUCCACUGGUGCC